GGGCCUAUAGCUCAGUUGGUUAGAGCAGGGGACUCAUAAUCCCUUGGUCGUCCGUUCAAGUCGGACUGGGCCCACCA
rnacentral:tRNA from 2 species